rnacentral:tRNA from 1 species
GGAGAGAUGGCAGAGUGGUCGAAUGCGGUGGUCUUGAAAACCAUUGUGCGGCAACGUACCGGGGGUUCGAAUCCCUCUCUCUCCGCCA